rnacentral:lncRNA from 1 species
UCUUCCUUUCUAUCAUAGCCUGAUGUAGUUUUUCAGGUUCCUUUGGGUCCCCUUGGCUGAGAGUGGAGUCCAUUCGGUCAGCUGGGGGAAUUUAGACUUUUACUUUUGGUUUACAGGUGAAUAACAACAUCAAGAAGAAAAUGGAAGCUAUCAGAAAAGCCUCUACCAUCCCCACCACAUCUACCUGUCUACCUGUGUGUGUUCCUAAACUCCAGCUUCUCUCAUGAAAGAACUCUCCAUGCAUCUGGCUUAAGGUCAUCCCAUCCCUGAUCUCCACUUAAGAAUUAAGCUGGAGGACUUUAUCCUUAGCAAACCAAUGCAGGAACAGAAAACCAAAUGCUGCGUGUUCUCACAAAUGAAUUGGAUCUAAUGAUGAGAACACAUGGACACAAAGGCCUGUGGAUGUCUAGAGGAGACACUGUCAUUAUUUCCAAGGCAAAAGCAGAAAAAGGAGGUUGAUGCUCAGGAAGAGGUUCAUGGCUGGAGGGAGCUUGCCUUGAGACUCAAAUGAGAUUUUGAACUUUAAACGAUCGAGUUGUUGCUGAAACAGGUAAGACUUUGCAGCUAUAGGGUGAUUGUAUUUCGUACUUGAAAAAGACAUGAGUUUGAGGGGCCAGGGGCCGAAUGCUAUUGGUUUGACUGUGUCCCCUCUGAAACUUAUGUUGAAAUUGGAUUCCCAAUUUGGCAGUGUUUGGAGGUGGGCCUACUGCGAGGUGUUUG